rnacentral:misc_RNA from 1 species
AGGCAAGAACUGAACCCUCUCUGUUUCUUUCCUGUAGGCUCUAAUCUCACCAUGCAAGAUUACCACCGGCAGCCUCUAUUGCUCAACCGCGGAGAAGAAGGAAAACAACAAGAAGAUCAAGAGCAGGAAACCGCUUAUGAUUCGGACGAGAAAGUUAUCAUCGGAAUCGAUGCCGGUUUCGACUCCGAUUUCGAGAACGCGCCGCCAUUCUCAUGGAGAAAGCUUUGGCUCUUCACUGGUCCCGGAUUCUUAAUGUCCAUCGCGUUUCUUGAUCCUGGGAAUUUGGAGGGGGAUCUUCAGGCUGG